rnacentral:rRNA from 1 species
GAUGAACGCUGGCGGCGUGCUUAACACAUGCAAGUCGAACGAAGCAUUUGCGACAGAUUUUUUCGGAAUGAAGUUGCUUAUGACUGAGUGGCGGACGGGUGAGUAACGCGUGGGUAACCUGCCUUGUACUGGGGGAUAGCAGCUGGAAACGGCUGGUAAUACCGCAUAAGCGCACAAUGUUGCAUGACAUGGUGUGAAAAACUCCGGUGGUAUAAGAUGGACCCGCGUCUGAUUAGCUAGUUGGUGAGAUAACAGCCCACCAAGGCGACGAUCAGUAGCCGACCUGAGAGGGUGACCGGCCACAUUGGGACUGCGACACGGCCCAGACUCCUACGGGAGGCAGCAGUGGGGAAUAUUGCACAAUGGAGGAAACUCUGAUGCAGCGACGCCGCGUGAGUGAAGAAGUAAUUCGUUAUGUAAAGCUCUAUCAGCAGGGAAGAUAGUGACGGUACCUGACUAAGAAGCUCCGGCUAAAUACGUG